AACAGGUGGAGCCUGCGGUUUAAUCGGACUCAACGCCGGGAAACUCACCAGAUAAGACAGCUGAAUGAUAGUCGGGCUGAAGACUCUACUUGACUAGCUGAGAGGAGGUGCAUGGCCGUCGUCAGUUCGUACUGUGAAGCAUCCUGUUAAGUCAGGCAACGAGCGAGACCCACGCCAACAGUUGCCAGCUCGUCCUCCGGGAUGGUGGGGACACUGUUGGGACCGCCUCUGCUAAAGAGGAGGAAGGAAUGGGCACGGUAGGUCAGCAUGCCCCGAAUUAUCUGGGCUACACGCGGGCUACAAUGGGUGGGACAAUGGGUAUCGACACCGAAAGGCGAAGGCAAUCUCCUAAACCCAUCCGUAGUUCGGAUUGUGGGCUGCAACUCGCCCACAUGAAGCUGGAAUCUGUAGUAAUCGUGUCUCAAAAUGGCACGGUGAAUAUGUCCCUGCUCCUU
rnacentral:rRNA from 1 species